rnacentral:tRNA from 1 species
GGGGCUGUGGCUCAGUGGUAGAGCGCUCACCUGGCAUGUGUGAGGCAUUGGAUUUGAUUCUCAACACCG